rnacentral:tRNA from 1 species
GGGCGAGUGGCGGAAUAGGCAGACGCGCAGGAUUCAGGUUCCUGUAUCCGUAAGGAUGUGAGGGUUCAACUCCCUUCUCGCCCACCA